AUGCCCGCGCUCCGGGAGACGUACUGCAAGGGCGUCACCGUCAAGCCCCGCGAGAGGAAGCACAUGGCGAUCGUCGUCCUGCUGCUCCACAACUGCUUCGCGCAGUACGCGCUGUGCCGCCUCAACCUCGUGCUCACCAUGAGCCGGCGGCCUCCGGUGGCCGUCGCCCUCACCGCGUCGGUCGCCAUCUGCGUGCCGGCCGUCGCAAGCCUGUAUAAGAACCUCAGCACCCUCGGCAUAGACCACGAGGCCCAGGCCACGGCCGACGAGGAGUCUUCUGGUUCGCAGCAGCUCCAGCAGAAGACCGUCGAGAAGAGGUACUCCUCUCCUCCGCAGGGAGAAAGAGAAUGA
rnacentral:rRNA from 1 species